ACGUGUCUCUCUCAAUCUCACGAGGACGCUAAAUUCCUAGUCGUGACAUAUUAGUUUUGUACGUACAUGAACUCAGUUAUUGCAGUGGUCCAGGAUCUGAUCAGUUCAAUAUUCCUGGUUUCGAGUUUUCAAGGUCUUUUAAAGUAUAAUAAGUGAAAAUAGAUUGAAAUCAAGAGCAAACGCAAAUCAAAGCUAUGGAGACUGCUCAAGGAACCAGAUGCCUGCAUGCAGGAUGAUUGUUUGCUACACUUCGAUCGGUCUUGAAGAUCAGCAUGAAUCAAUGACCUCACACAGUCACACUAGGUCCUGUUUACUUUUCUUCAAAAAAAAAAAUACAAAAAAAAACGCGACUACGCUAAUGAGCGAAUGUGCUCCAAUUCGACAGCCACUUCGCCAUUGUUGGCCAUUUUUUACCUUUCAUCCUCACACAACUACUAGCCAGUCUUGCCGCUGAUGUGACUUUUCCAUGGUU